GUUUGAUGAUCUUACAGAAGAGCUGAGAGUUGCAUCUUCAAAAUGGCUAUAUUUGUCUAAAAACAAUCAAGUUAUUCAACAGGAGUUAUGAAAGAAAUACAACAGAAACGUGAAAAACUUGAGGAGGUUAAAAAAAAAUUUGGAAAAAGAAGUGAAUCUCUAAAAUCCAAUAAAAAAUUUAAAAAAAAAAGAAGUGAAUCUUAAGACACAUAUGGAAAAAAUAUAGUAGAACUUGGUAAAGUAGAAGAAUAUAAAUUGCAGCUAGAAGAAACAGCAAGACAGGAAAUAGAAAAAUUAGAAAAAAUCAAUUUACAGAAACAAGCAGAAUAUGAAAAACAAUGAGAGCAGUUAAAAAAGAAUAAUACAGCUUCAGUAAAUAAAAUAGACCUCAUGCAGAUAGGUGAAAUAUCAGUUCUCCAAGAUGGAAACUGCUUAUAAAGAGGUUACUACUGAAUUAGAAGAAUAUAAGGAAGCCUUUGCAGUAUCAUUAAAAGCUGACAGAUCCAUGUCAAAAAAAUUAAAGAAAUCAAAUGAGAUAAUAGCAAUGGUCAGUAGCAGGCGCCAUAUAGAGAUAAAAGUCAGAGUCACCUUGUGUUGGAAGUGUUAAUAAGUAUGGGUCUCUGCAGAAAAUAUAUUCCAAAAACCAAGGUUAGUUGUGUUACCUGUUCUCUUUGGGAUUUGUUUUUAAUUUUGUAAAAUGCUGAGUUGUUCAAUUGACUUAUGCUUGUUAAGAUCAUAAUUAGCUGUAUUAAUAAGGGAAGAAAAGGGAAACUUUAUAUUUUGCAAGUCCCUGGUGCUCUCAUUUUCAAGAGAUACUUAUUUAUUAACUUUAUUCAUUAAAUGUAACUAAACUGGCACAUUUUAAAUUUAUUUAAAAGUUGCAUUUAAGUUAGAUUUUAGAAAUUUCAUGUUAAUGUCUAAUAACUGACAGUAUACUUUGAGAUGCUUUGGGUUACUUUA
rnacentral:lncRNA from 13 species